CCUACGGGAGGCAGCAGUGGGGAAUAUUGGGCAAUGGGCGCAAGCCUGACCCAGCAACGCCGCGUGAAGGAAGAAGGCUUUCGGGUUGUAAACUUCUUUUCUCAGGGACGAAGCAAGUGACGGUACCUGAGGAAUAAGCCACGGCUACCUACGUGCCAGCAGCCGAGGUAAUACGUAGGUGGAAAGCGUUAUCCGGAGUUGUUGGGAUUAAAGGGUGCGCAGGCGGAAGAUAGAGUCAGCGGUAAAAUUGAGAGGCUUAACCUCUUCGAGCCGUUGAAUCUGGUUUUCUUGAGUGAGUGAGGAGUAUGCUGAAUGCGUGGUGUAGCGGUGAAAUGCAUAGAUAUCACGCAGAACUCCGAUUGCGAAGGCAGCAUACCGGCGCUCAACUGACGCUCAUGCACGAAAGUGUGGGGAUCGAACAGGAUUAGAUAACCCGUGUAGUC
rnacentral:rRNA from 1 species